GGGGAAUAUUGGACAAUGGGCGCAAGCCUGAUCCAGCCAUGCCGCGUGAGUGAUGAAGGCCUUAGGGUUGUAGAGCUCUUUUACUCGGGAAGAUAGUGACGGUACCGAGGGAAUAAGCCCCGGCUAACUUCGUGCCAGCAGCCGCGGUAAUACGAAGGGGGCUAGCGUUGUUCGGAUUUACUGGGCGUAAAGCGCACGUAGGCGGAUCUUUAAGUCAGGGGUGAAAUCCCGAGGCUCAACCUCGGAACUGCCUUUGAUACUGGGGAUCUUGAGUCCGGAAGAGGUGAGUGGAACUGCGAGUGUAGAGGUGAAAUUCGUAGAUAUUCGCAAGAACACCAGUGGCGAAGGCGGCUCACUGGUCCGGAACUGACGCUGAGGUGCGAAAGCGUGGGGAGCAAA
rnacentral:rRNA from 1 species